rfam:Salmo salar isolate Sally breed double haploid chromosome ssa26, whole genome shotgun sequence.
UGCAUUCAUUACUGUAAGUCGCUCUGGAUAAGAGCGUCUGCUAAAUAGACUAAA